UACGUAGGGUGCGAGCGUUAAUCGGAAUUACUGGGCGUAAAGGGCGCGUAGGCGGCACUGUUAGUCAGGCGUGAAAGUCCUGGGCUCAACCUGGGAACUGCGCUUGAUACGGCAGAGCUAGAGGAUGGAAGAGGCUCGCGGAAUUCCCAGUGUAGAGGUGAAAUUCGUAGAUAUUCGCAAGAACACCAGUGGCGAAGGCGGCUUACUGGUCCGGUUCUGACGCUGAGGCGCGAAAGCGUGGGGAGCAAACAGG
rnacentral:rRNA from 1 species